rnacentral:rRNA from 1 species
GUGGGGAAUAUUGGACAAUGGGCGAAAGCCUGAUCCAGCAAUGCCGCGUGAGUGAUGAAGGCCUUAGGGUUGUAAAGCUCUUUUACCCGGGAAGAUAAUGACUGUACCGGGAGAAUAAGCCCCGGCUAACUCCGUGCCAGCAGCCGCGGUAAUACGGAGGGGGCUAGCGUUGUUCGGAAUUACUGGGCGUAAAGCGCACGUAGGCGGUUUUGUAAGUUAGAGGUGAAAGCCUGGGGCUCAACCCCAGAAUUGCCUUUAAGACUGCAUCACUUGAACGUCGGAGAGGUGAGUGGAAUUCCGAGUGUAGAGGUGAAAUUCGUAGAUAUUCGGAAGAACACCAGUGGCGAAGGCGGCUCACUGGACGACUGUUGACGCUGAGGUGCGAAAGCGUGGGGAGCAAACAGGAUUAGAUACCCGUGUAGUCC